AGAAUGACCAGACUGGUCUGAGUUGACAGGAAAUAAGCACUUUUUCUAACCACGUUGAGCAGAAAAGCAUCUCAGAAUGUACAACACAUCAAGUUGGAUGGAGAUGGAUGGGCUACAACAGCAGAAGACCAUAUCAGGUUCCACUCCUGUCAAACAAGAACAAGAAUCUGAGGCUAUCAUGGGCACAGACUCACACAAACAGUUGAAGACUGGACAAAGACCAGCAUGUCUGGCAGACGUCCCAGCUGAACUGAAUCCCAGGAAAACUGAGGUGAUAUUUACAGUAUAUCUGGAUAUCCCCACAUCAAGUAGAACUCGACAUUUCUCUCUAUGGAAGCCACUCAGAUGCUUGUUCAGACCCCUUUUGUGUCAGGAUUGGCCUACUGACACUCAGUCCUGUUAGGUCUUCUCUUGUGUGCCAUCACACUCCUGGUCUUGGGGGAGCCUGGAGCCUAUCACAGGGAACACAGGGCACAAGACAGGGGACAUCCUGGACGGGGUGCCAACCCAUCUCAGGGCACAAUCACACGCACACUAACACACUACAGACAAUUUGGAAACAACCCAUUUCUUUGGACUGGGGGAGGAAACCUGAGUACCCGGAGGAAAUCCCCGAAGCACGCAAACUCCACACACACAGGGGGGGCAAGAUGUAAAUCCCAGAGGUGUGAGGCAUAUGUGCUAACCACUAAGCCACUGUCCCUGUUCCUUCUGCUGUUGUAGCCCAUCUGCCUCAAGGUUUGAUGUGUUUUGCAUUCUAAGAUGCUUUUCUGCUCACCACGGUUGUAAAGAGUGAUUAUAUGAGUUACUAUAUCUUUCUUAGCAGCUCGAACCAAUCUGGCCAUUUUUCUCUGAUCUCUCUUAUGAACAAGCCAUUUCCACCCACAGAACUGUCCAUCACCCAAUGUUUUUUUUGUUUGUUUUUUGCACCAUUCUGUGUAAACUGUAGAGACGGUUGUAUGUGAAAAUUCAAGGAGAUCAGCAGUUUAUGAAAUACUCAAACCAGCCCAUCUGGCACCAACACCAUGCCACAAUCAAAGUCACAAAGAUCACACUUUUCUUAAUUCUGAUGUUUGAUGUGAACAUUAACUGAAGCUCUUGACCUGUAUCUGCAUGAUUUUUUUGCAUUGUGUUCUGCCACAUGAUUGGCUGUGAGGCAGGAACAUACCCUUGUUGUUUGUCUGGCAGAGCACACUCUGAGCAACAUUAGAGCUUGAUCUACAAUGAAUAAAAUGUUUCAAAACUUUUUUUUUUUUUUAAACAUUUUGUGACAGUUCUCAGUAGCUUUUUGCUUGCAUAUU